GAGUGAACUAAGUUAAGGUUAGUGUAAAAUUUUAGAUUAUAUAAUUCCAAAAAGUUUUUCCACUAGUCAAAAUAUUAGGCCUUUCAUUAAAAAUUUGAUCGCUAAUUUCAGUUUGUUUUUGGAUGUGUGAUAUUCAAUUUUUUCCAUAGACCACGGACUACAUCAAUAUUAAUAGCAAAAAGUAAUUUAAAAAAUAGAAGACAGUAAAUAAUUGAUCAGGUAUACUUUUAACGUGAAAAAAAUGAGUAAUGCUUAGUAAAAUCGAAAAAAAAAAAAAAUAAAAAAAUACAAAUCCCUUAAUAUUUAUAUUUAUAUUUUCGACUUAUAUCUUCUGUACAAGUCAAACACUUAAAAAAAAUAAAUAUAUAUAUGUAUAGAUACUACAUACAUUAUAUUUUAAAUAAAAGUGUACUGGUUAUUUUGUAGUUUAGCAAAUACAUUUAUAUCAGGAACUAAGAUUCUUAUAAUUUAACCUUUUGUGCAGUUAGUUUGUUAAGCAAUGAUUGUAAGUGCAUCUAACAUAUCUGGGUUUAUUGUAAAUUUAAUUAAUUAAUAGCUUGCUAUUUGUUUAUUAACCCAUUGUUGUAAUCACGAUUGACAGUAAAAUAACAAUAUUGUGAAUAUAAAAAAUACAAUUUAAUUUUAAUGUGAAUAAUGAUUAAUUAUUGUAUUAUUUCAGCAGACCAAUUGGGACUAUUUUAAUAAUAUGAGAAAAAACUGAACAUCCUGACUUCCUCGCCCCAAAUGACGCCCCUGAUUGACCGUAAUACGGAUUUUGUAGAACAAAUAAAUCAUAGUCAGUAGGUGUAUACAGGUAUACUCCAUAAAACUAAUCAUAAUAUAGGUACUAACUAUGGAAGAUACAUACGAUAGGUUAGCAAUUUAAAAAUAUAAUAUUUAUAUUUUAGAUAUUGAUUGAUGAUUCAUUAAUAAAGUGAUUAUUGAUUGGUUUCAUUGUGAUGUAUAUACGUCACGAUAAUGAUGACGUUCGCACCAACUACGUUAAACGGCUAAAUAUUCUACAUACCAGCUACAGG
rnacentral:lncRNA from 1 species